rnacentral:rRNA from 1 species
GUGAAGCUCAGCUUGCUGGGUGGAUCAGUGGCGAACGGGUGAUUACACGUGAGCAACCUGCCCUGGACUCUGGGAUAAGCGCUGGAAACGGCGUCUAAUACUGGAUAUGAACUGCGACCGCAUGGUCAGUGGUUGGAAAGAUUUUUCGGUCUGGGAUGGGCUCGCGGCCUAUCACUUGUUGGUGAGGUAAUGGCUCACCAAGGCGU